ACAGGAGCCCAGCACAGGAAUCCCAGGUGUCCCCAGCCCCUUCUUCUCAGGACAAGACACAGGCCACUCACCAUGGAGUUUGGGCUCAGCUGGGUUUUCCUAGUUGCAGUUUUAAGAGGUGUCCAGUGUGAUGUGCAGCUGGUGGAGUCUGGGGGAGGCUUAGUGCAGCCUGGGGGGUCUCUGAGACUCUCCUGUGUAGCUUCUGGAUUCACCUUUAGUAGCUACAACAUGCACUGGGUCCGUCAGCCUCCAGGGAAGGGGCUGGAGUGGGUCUCACUCAUUAGUUAUAAUGGUGGCAAUGCAUACUACGCCAACUCUGUGAAGGGUCGAUUCACCACCUCAAGAGACAAUGGCAAAAGCAUGCUAUACCUGCAAAUGAACAGCCUGAAAACUGAGGACACAGCCGUUUAUUACUGUGCAAGAGAUGCACAGUGA